rnacentral:rRNA from 1 species
UACGUAGGAUGCAAGCGUUGUUCGGAAUUACUGGGCGUAAAGAGUACGUAGGCGGUUUGAAAAGUCUGAUAUUAAAGACUGGGGCUUAACUCCAGGAGUGUAUCGGAAACUUUCAGACUAGAGGACAAUAGAGGAAGUCGGAAUUCUCAGUGUAGCGGUGAAAUGCGUAGAUAUUGGGAAGAACACCAGUGGCGAAAGCGGACUUCUGGUUGUUACUGACGCUGAGGUACGAAAGCGUGGGGAGCAAACGGG